rnacentral:rRNA from 1 species
UGGGGAAUUUUGGACAAUGGGCGAAAGCCUGAUCCAGCAAUGCCGCGUGUGUGAAGAAGGCCUUCGGGUUGUAAAGCACUUUUGUCCGGAAAGAAAUCCUUGGCUCUAAUACAGUCGGGGGAUGACGGUACCGGAAGAAUAAGCACCGGCUAACUACGUGCCAGCAGCCGCGGUAAUACGUAGGGUGCAAGCGUUAAUCGGAAUUACUGGGCGUAAAGCGUGCGCAGGCGGUUUGCUAAGACCGAUGUGAAAUCCCCGGGCUCAACCUGGGAACUGCAUUGGUGACUGGCAGGCUAGAGUAUGGCAGAGGGGGGUAGAAUUCCACGUGUAGCAGUGAAAUGCGUAGAGAUGUGGAGGAAUACCGACGGCGAAGGCAGCCCCCUGGGCCAAUACUGACGCUCAUGCACGAAAGCGUGGGGAGCAAACAGGAUUAGAUACCCUGGUAGUCCACGCCCUAAACGAUGUCAACUAGUUGUUGGGGAUUCAUUUCCUUAGUAACGUAGCUAACGCGUGAAGUUGACCGCCUGGGGAGUACGGUCGCAAGAUUAAAACUCAAAUGAAUUGACGGGGUCAUAGCUGUUUCCU